rnacentral:tRNA from 1 species
GCGGGUGUAGCGCAGUGGUAGCGUAUUUGCCUUCCAUGACGUCAGCAUGACAUCGCAUGGAGCAAACUGUCACGGGUUCGAUCCCCGUCACCCGCU